rnacentral:lncRNA from 1 species
UACAGCGCCCCUGGGAAUCCGCACCUUUUGCUUCAUUUAUCUAGCCACUGUUUCUGUGUUUUCUACUCCAUCCUUUCCCUAGAGUUAGUCAUCUCUUUGCCAGUUCUCUCAUGUGGUUUCCUCAAUAUUCAAGUCACAUUUCCUUCAUAGAACUUUCCCUCUAAACCCUCCUCAUGGUCAUGAAAAGCUGGGGAACUGCUAGAGAUGCAGAGGCACUGCGUCUCCCACAAAGCCUCUUGCGAACCUAAAAUGUCCCCAAGAUGCCUCAUUGAUAAAAUGUAUUGUGGAGGCAGUGAAAGGAAGCAGCAGGAAUGAGCAGAGGGGGCGUUUUCAGUAGAGAGGGAUGCAUCCACAACUGUUUGGAGUGCCCUUCUUGAAGGCACUCAAGCCCAAACUGUCAUUCCUGGGCAAAAUCACCUAAGGUUGUAGGUCUUUCAUAUGAAGUAGCCAGGAUAGAGCUGGACCUUGCUGGUCAGGUGACUACCCAAGGAGACCAGAGCCUUAAAUGGCCUCAUGCACAGUGGGUGGUGUAGAGGACACACAGCAGCUGCUCCUUUCAGAGUCCCAUGCUCAAAAUUCUUACCCACUACAUCCAAGACCCUUUAUCUCCUUUCCUCCAGGAUGAUGCCUGGAGGCACGCCCACUAACACCAAUCUGUCAUUUCACCAAUCUGUCAAUUAUACUCCCAAGGAUUUAGGACCAGGGGUGAGAAGCUGGUGAGUGGGGCUAGAAUCAACUCCUGCAAAAUCUGACCAGUGACUAGUGAGCUCUACAGUGCCUAGCUUUUAAAGGAAAAUAGAUCCGAAAGAAAGUGAACUCCAGUAGUUAAAAGAAACCAGUGAUCAAGCUGACUCUUUGUUUUUAAAAUCAUUUUGCUUUUGGGUAGGUGUUUCCCAAGAGAUAUCCCCUCCGUUACACUCACAUAAACCUCAUAUUCAAAGAGCAUUGCUGAUGCAAGUAAAACAGCCGAUUUCCUAAACGAAUCAUGAAUUGAAACCCAGGACAUUGACGUUGUUUUCAGCUUGUGUAAUUUUCUACCCAAGAUUUGUAGCCUGAGGUAUUACUGAGGGAGUAACUUAUUGCUUAGAAGAGAAUAUAAGACUGUAAUAAUACCUAUAAGAUGUGUUGAAAGUGUUAUGUUGAAUUAGGACAGAAGAGGCCAGACACCUAAGCAAUUUUCAGGAAGCAGAUUUAUUAAUUGCAGGGUUCAGAGGUGCCUCAUGCCUAAGAAUUCUUCCUCUGAACAAAGAUGAUAGAAAUUCCCUGAAUUUUCUACCCCUGGGAGUCCAGUGGGGUCGGUAGGAGGUUCGUAUACCAAUGGAGUUUCAUUCUAUCUUUUUAGACAGUCACAGGUUUCACAGUUUUUACCAAGAAAACAUAAAAAUCAUUUUUUUUUAAAUUAAGAAGCUUUCAGACUACUCUGUCAAACCUUUUGUGUGCAAACCUGGCAUUUUAAAAAAAGAGGAAAGUACCAACCUCAAUAUCCUCUGCAGACAUCCUGCUGAUCUCACAAAGAGAAGCUUAAUUACGGCAAGAGUCUUCUGGGUGGGGGGUCACUGACCUGCUUUAAUAGUGCAAAAGCAAUGGGUUCACAAAGACACCUACAUGAUAAAGUUCCAGCCCCUGAAACCAGGAAAAGGUGUUUAUAUACCCAAGUGCAAAUAGAGUGCCAUAUUCUACUUGUAGGUAUGCAUAUGAUUGAAUUUGUACUCACCUUUUUUUCAGUAAGGUUCAGGAGGCCUGCUACCCAUUCUGUCAUAGGAGACUGUAUGUCACCACCUUGAAAAUUUAUGUUUUGGUUUUAAAGCUUAACUCUGAGGAUACUUUCUGAAAAUUUAUUUGGUAUCUCUCUAGAAGCUUGUUCUAUGGUAACCUAUUUGUCAAAGUAUAGCUUAAAGAUCCAGCUCAGGUGUACCAGCUCCAGUGCCUUUUUUCUGCCAAACAUAAUUGUGUAUAUAUCUCUUUGUUUUCCUAAAGUGACUGUGUGGUCAUUGACUUUUAAGAUGACUGAAAGCACAUUGUACGUCAUCCUCCCAUCCCCAAUUAAACACUAACACGUAUGCCAAUGCAAGGCUUCACUAUUUAACUCAUGGAUCCCUUGCAGAAGUAUUUGGGAAGACAGUUGUACACAGCACAUAGUAGACCACACCUAAGGUCAACAGUACCCCAUCUACUUCUCUGUUGACUCUUUCCCUUCAGAAUAUGAGUGUAGUAGAUUAUGCCUAAAGAAAUGGAGGCAUUGGAGAUACUGGUCAAACAGGGCAUAGAGUAUUGGUCAGGUCCUGGCAGGAGCCAAUACAGGACAAAAUCUAGUCAAUUCAACAUUUUGAUAAAUACUGAUUGAACAGCUGGUUCUAGGUGUUAGGGAUGUAACAGUGAAUGAGUCUAGCAGGUGGAUGCUGUUAUUGGGUAAGUGCUAUUCUUGUGGAAGUAGAGCUCCUAAGGUAGGAAUCAGGCUCAUCUGCUCCCAUUGAGCAUAAUCCCCCAAGUAACUCAUUUUUCCUCAUGUUUUUAAAACAUUUUUUUAGUUGUGGAUGGACACAAUAUCUUCAUUUUAUUUGUAUGUGGUGCUGAGGAUAGAACCUAGUGCCUCACAUGUGCUAAGCGAGCGUUCCACCACUGAGGUACAACUCAGCCCCACCUCAGGCUUUUUAAAGGUCUCUUCUCAAAGCUCAGGUUGGUUUCUCUUCUGCUUCAUCUUGGGCAUGGUUGGCUUCUAUUCUGCUUUGACUUAUUUGCCUGGCUGCUUGUUCUCCUGGUUUUUCCUGGAGUGGUUUUCUCUGGUCUUCUUGGUCUUGUCCUGCCCAUG